AGAGUUGUCUAUAAAAAAAUGGAUCAAACGGCGUUCCGUGACAUCAUCUAUCUCCCAUGGCUCUGUGGAUGGGUGUCUGCCUGGAAAGCUGAAAAUUUUGGAAUAAAUCUCAACUUGUGGGAAAAACUGAUCUAAAGUCAUUUCAAGAUUGCUUACAUGAAGCCACCAUUGUGCGGAUCAACACCACUAGCAGCUACCAAUUUUUUCCAUUGCCUUUUUUUGCACACUGCAGGGCUGCGGAUAGGAACUGCACCUUAAGAUAUGAAAAAAUUGUCUGACAGCAAAUAAAAACUGAAAGAAAUAACAUGCAUAUCAGCAAAUAGACUGCACUGUACCAUUCAAA